GACGAACGCUGGCGGCGUGCUCUACACAUGCAAGUCGAACGGAAAGGCCCUGCAUGCUGGGCACUCGAGUGGCGAACGGGUGAGUUACACGUGGGCGCUCUGCCCUGCACUUUGGGAUAAGCCUGGGCAACCGGGUCUAUUACCGGCUCGGAGCCACACUUAGUGUGACGGCUGGUAAGUUUUCUCGGUGUAGGGUGAGCUCGCGGCCCAUCAGCCUGUUGGUGGGGUAAUGGCCUACCCAGGCGGCGACGGGUGGCCGGCCGGAGAGGGUGAACGGACACAUUGGAUCUGUAGUAGUGCCCAGACUCCGGCGGGAGGCAGCAGGGGGGAAGAUCGCACAAGUGGCGCAAGCCUGAGGCAACGACGCCGCGUGGGGGAGGACGGCCAUCCGGUUGGAAACGCCUUUCGCGAGGGACGAAGCUUUUUGGGACGGUGCCUAGAUAAGAAGCACCGGCUAACUACGUG
rnacentral:rRNA from 1 species